GGGCCCGCACAAGCGGUGGAGCAUGUGGUUUAAUUCGAUGAUACGCGAGGAACCUUACCAGGGCUUAAAUGGGAAAUGACAGGGGCAGAGACGCCCCCUUCUUCGGACAUUUUUCAAGGUGCUGCAUGGUUGUCGUCAGCUCGUGCCGUGAGGUGUCAGGUUAAGUCCUAUAACGAGCGCAACCCCUACCGUUAGUUGCCAGCGUGUAAUGACGGGGACUCUAACGGAACUGCCGGUGCAAACCGUGAGGAAGGUGGGGACGACGUCAAAUCAUCACGGCCCUUACGUCCUGGCCACACACGUGCUACAAUGGUAGGUACAGAGGGCAGCGAAGUCGCGAGGCUAAGCAAA
rnacentral:rRNA from 1 species